GAUGGGGUUAGCCUAGUGAUUAAGGCUAUGGAUCACCAAUCCGGAGACGGCGGGUUCGAUUCCCGUUCCAGUCG
rnacentral:tRNA from 1 species